CAUUUCGAGGCAUUUACACGUAGAUUGAACCUUUAUCCGCAAUUGUGUAACCUUCUACCGGUUUGUCCGCUUGUCAAAAGUUAUUUGUUGCACACAAUAUCAACCUAUGUAGGCUACAAAGGCAAACGCACAAGUAGUACGUAUUUGUUAAAUUUGAUCCCUUAGUUAUUUGAUUAGAUGGUGAAUAGACGCAUAUACUGCCCCACCCCUCACCACGCCAGCCAGUAAUCCCGCACGUCUCUGUAGUUGGCUUCUUAGAUCCACCCAGCGACUUCAGGCCGAGCCUGCCCGGGGGUCUGCCCCCGCGGCCCCUGCGGCGGCCCCUGCUCCCCCUGCUGCAGCGACCCCGCCGGCCCCCGGCCACACCGGGGCUGUUGGAGGGCGCCGAGUCCGUCCCGCGGGAGCAGAUCGUGGCCCCGCCCGUCCGCCAGGAGGCGACCCCCGAGUCCGUGCAGCCGGCGAGACCCUUCACCCCGAGACUGUCGCCGCACUACGUGCAGCGCUUCAGGCUGAGGGGCACUUGGAUGCGGAACGCGCACCUGCUCAGGAGGGCGAUGCGGCGCGUCGACGUGCACGCCAUCAACCGCAUGCUCGAGGUGGACGACGCGCAGGCCGCCAGCGACCUCCACCCGACGUUCGUCGCCGCCCCUGACUUCCAGCUGGAGACCGGGGAUGGUGAUUCGGGGGCGCUUGCAGACGACGACGACAACCUGCGCGAUUACUCGUCACCGCCGACGUCCUACGAAGCACCAGUGUACAUCCUCGCCGCCGGGGACGACGACGAGGGCGAAGGCCUUCCCAAUAGACUGGAGACGCCAGCCGGCGUGCCGCCCAAGUUCGGUCCGUCCGACAGCUCGUUCAGUCCGGGCAGACCCGCUGGCUAUCCCUAUCGCCCCAGCAGACCUGGCCCGCCCUACGAGGAGGACGACGACUCGGUCAACGAACUGUCCCUGGAAGCUUUGUCGACGAGUAUCUCGACGCACACUCGUCCUCGACAAAAUACUGGACAGAAUAUUCGUUUUCCGGUCGACAAAAAGCAGACGAGUCCUGCUCCCGCUGACCGACUGAAUGAGACGAACAGCGCUCCGUUCAUACCGACGCCGCUGCCCCCGGCAGAGCAACCAAGGCCCCGGCCCCCGCCGCCCUCCCAGGGAAGCGUCAAUGACUCGGACUCCCUGUCCACCUGGGACGCGCCCGAGGCUGCCGACGCGGGGUUCUCGGCACCCUCCUUCGAUGAGGAGGACACGGAGCGACCGGAACACACGAUUGCCGUCAACGAGGACCCCCAGGAACCAUACCAACCCCAGGACCACGACGAGGAAACCACACAGCUCAACGGAGAAACGGUGCUGAACGAUGUGAACGGCAACCACCUCGGCAAUGUAGAAGAAGAGCCGGCCUUCAGUUACGACUUGCCGCAGCACCACCCGCAACACCACCAGCAACAUCCGCAUCCCCAUCCACCAUCGAAAAACCACUUUCACCCUCCGAUCGUCAAAUUCCACGUCCACCACGUCCAGAACGGGAACAAUGACGAACACGUGCACAUCGGACUACAGCCGCAUCACCACCAUCAUCAUCAUCACCCGGGUCCUCACCACCAUCAUCACCAUCCCCCCUCUCCCUCCCAUCACCAUCAUCAUCAUCCCCCCCUGCACCACCACCACCAUCCGCACCCUCCGUCCCAGCCUCACCACCACCAUCCGCACCCUCCUUCCGAGCUCCAUCUCUUCCGACCGCAUCGACCACGUCCCCAGCUACCUCCCGCGACCUCCUACGGCGUCCCUGAGUGGCCGGCCUCCGCCUUCGAGGACGACGGCGGCGACGUUCAGACGUACGUGAAGACGUCUCCGGACGGCACCGUGCAGUGGAGCGUGCGGCACAGUGUGGGGUGAAUGUGGGGGAGGGGGCCCCAGGAUACCUUCCAGGACCCACAACGAUCAUGGCAUGCGGAAGACGGGGAGAAAUUGAAGUCGCCAGCGGGGGUAUGGUGAGAAAAGGAUUUGCGAGGAAAGAAAAGGCAUCGUGCCGCUGCACGGCGUGACCCCGGGGCCGACGGACCUGCCGCUGCACACCUGGGAGCGCGCCGCGGCGGCGUGGAAGCGGCGCCAGGAGGAGGUGCUGGCCGCGGAGGAAGAGGAGGAGGCCGUGGCCGAGCAGCGGCGCC